rnacentral:lncRNA from 1 species
UGCUUUCUCUUCUACACAAGAGGCAGUCUCAGAGACAGGAAGAUUUUUCUCAGUUGAUCACCAUCGAUAUUUGAACUUAUAAGGGAUAAAGGACACCAUGGAAUACAGUUCCCUAAAGAUCAUGAGCCUUGCUGUAGUGUUUUACCUUCAUGGUGAUUAAGUGGGCAAUAAAAAUAACUUUUUUCUGUCCCUUUAUGAGCUUUCUGGUAGCCAUUUUUUUUCUGUCACGUAUAUAGUUCUAUGUAUGUUUGGUUGAGUUCGAGUUGCAACACAGAGUAAGUAACCCAUGACCUAAUAAGGAGAAAGAUCUAGGGAGUCUUUCCAGGUCCUCUUGUAUUUUUCUCCCGCUGAUAAUAGAGCUGCUUCUCUAUUAUUAUGCUCUAUUAUCUAUUAUUCUUUGCCUCAGCCCCAGUCCCCCACCCUCCAUCAGUGCCACUGACUCCACCUUUGGUCUUCCUCUAAUGCUGCCAGGUUGGUCUGGCUUUUUGGAAUCAGAGAGGAAAGCCUAGAUCUUAGCCCAAGUGUACAACCCCAUAAUCUGUGUUUUACUUUCAUUGCUCUGCAAGUAUUAAUA